CUUGGUGAGAAGAGCUAUGGGGGUACACCUAGUAACAUACCGAACCUAGAAGUUAAGCCCAUAUACGCUGAUGGUACUUGGUUGGAAGCGACCUGGGAGAGUAGGUAUUUGCCAAGC
rnacentral:rRNA from 1 species